GGAUUAGAAACCCCGGUAGUCCACGCCAUAAACGAUGGAUACUUGGUGUUGGUGGUAUUGGCCCCAUCAGUGCCGUAGCAAACGCGAUAAGUAUCCCGCCUGGGAAGUACGGCCGCAAGGUUAAAACUCAAAGAAAUUGACGGGGGCCCGCACAAGCGGUGGAGCAUGUGGUUUAAUUCGAUGCAACGCGAAGAACCUUACCUGGGCUUGAAAUGUAGUGGAAGGUUAGCAGAGAUGCUACCGCCUUCGGGCCGCUACACAGGUGCUGCAUGGCUGUCGUCAGCUCGUGUCGUG
rnacentral:rRNA from 1 species